rnacentral:rRNA from 1 species
GACGAACGCUGGCGGCGUGCCUAAUACAUGCAAGUAGGACGCAGUUGCGAACGGGUGAGUAAAGCGUAGGUAACUGCCUAUUAGAGGGGGAUAACUAUUGGAAACGAUAGCUAAUACCGCAUACUAGUAGAUGGACCUGCGUUGUAUUAGCUAGUAGGUAGGGUAGUGGCCUACCUAGGCGACGAUACAUAGCCGACCUGAUAUGUGGAUCGGCACCCCUGGGACUGAGACACGGCCCAGACUCCUACGGUAGGCAGCAGUAGGGAAUCUUCGGCAAUGGGGGGACCCCUGACCGAGCAACGCCGCGUGAGUGAAGAAGGUUUUCGGAUCGUAAAGCUCUGUUGUUAAGGAAGCGGUACUUAACCAGAAAGGGACGGCUAACUACGUGCCAGCAGCCGCGGUAAUAC